AAUCAACGCUGGCGGCGUGCCUAACACAUGCAAGUCGAACGAGAAAGUGGAGCAAUCCAUGAGUAAAGUGGCGACCGGGUGAGUAACACGUGACUAACCUACCUUCGAGUGGGGGAUAACCUCGGGAAACCGGGGCUAAUACCGCAUAACAUCUUUGAAGUGGAAAUUUCGGAGAUCAAAGGAGCAAUUCGCUGGAAGAGGGGGUCGCGGCUGAUUAGCUAGUUGGCGGGGUAACGGCCCACCAAGGCUUAGAUCGGUAGCCGGCCUGAGAGGGCGCACGGCCACACUGGAACUGAAACACGGUCCAGACUCCUACGGGAGGCAGCAGUGGGGAAUUUUGCGCAAUGGGGGAAACCCUGACGCAGCAACGCCGCGUGGAGGAUGAAGUCCCUUGGGACGUAAACUCCUUUCGACCGGACGAUAAUGACGGUACGGGUGGAAGAAGCCCCGGCUAACUUCGUGCCAGCAGCCGCAGUAAC
rnacentral:rRNA from 1 species